rnacentral:rRNA from 1 species
GGCGAACCUGACGAACAUACCGCGUGAGGGAUGACGGCCUGUGGGUUGUAAACCUCUUUUCUCAAGGAAGAAGUUCUGACGGUACUUGAGGAAUAAGCAUCGGCUAACUCUGUGCCAGCAGCCGCGGUAAUACAGAGGAUGCAAGCGUUAUCCGGAAUCACUGGGCAUAAAGCGUCUGUAGGUGGUUUGGUAAGUCUGCUGUUAAAGACUGGGGCUCAACCCCARAAAAGCAGUGGAAACUGCUAGACUUGAGUGUGGUAGAGGUAGAGGGAAUUCCUAGUGUAGCGGUGAAAUGCGUAGAUAUUAGGAAGAACACCAAUGGCGAAGGCACUCUACUGGGCCAUAACUGACACUGAGAGACGACAGCUAGGGGAGCAAAUGGGAUUAGAUACCCCAGUAGUCCUAGCCGUAAACGAUGGAUACUAGAUGUUGCACGUAUUAACCCGUGCAGUAUCGUAGCUAAGGCGUUAAGUAUCCCGCCUGGGAAGU